rnacentral:lncRNA from 10 species
UGUAAAACUAACAAGGUUAGAAUUAUGGUUCAGGAGUCAUGUAGCUGGAGGUCACAAGGUUUGUAGCCUCCCCAGUUGCUCCUAUAGACAACAGCACUAUUGCAAAAUAUCAGAUUGGUGUUUGAGGUAUUUUUCAGACCUUACGUUCUGAUGGACCAGCUGGCUCCACUUAGACCAGUAACCCAUACCAAGAAACUAGCUCAGUUGGUCUUGUGACCCCCACCCAGGAACUGACUCAACACAAGAAGACAGCUUCAUCCCCUAUGAUUUCAUCGCUGACCCAAUCAAUCAGCACUCCUCAUUCUCUAGCCCCCUGCCCACUGAGCUAUCCAUGAAAAACCCUACCCUCCAAAUUCUUGAUGAGGUGGAUUUGAGAAUUAUCUCUCAUCCUCCAGCUUGGCUAGCCCCACAAUAAGCACACUCUUUCU